rnacentral:rRNA from 1 species
CAGUCGCCACGGUAAUACAGAGGGUGCAAGCGUUAAUCGGAAUUACUGGGCGUAAAGCGCGCGUAGGUGGUUCGCCAAGUUGGAUGUGAAAUCCCCGGGCUCAACCUGGGAACUGCAUCCAAAACUGGCGAGCUAGAGUAUGGUAGAGGGUGGUGGAAUUUCCUGUGUAGCGGUGAAAUGCGUAGAUAUAGGAAGGAACAUCAGUGGCGAAGGCGACCACCUGGACUGAUACUGACACUGAGGUGCGAAAGCGUGGGGAGCAAACAGGAUUAGAUACCCCCGUAGUCCCUGUCUCUUAUAA